AUACUUACCUAGCAGGGGGAGACACCAUGAUCACUGGUUCCCCCAUGGUGAAGCUCAGCCAUUGACUCAGGCCUAGAGCAGACCCGUGUGAAUUCCCCACACGUGGGAAUCUCGACUGCAUAAUUUCUGGAAGUGGGGGACUGUGUCCGAGCUCUCUUUGG